rnacentral:tRNA from 1 species
CCCAUGGUGGCUCAGACAGUAGAGAAUCUGCCUGCAAUGCAGGAGACCCAGGUUUGAUCCCUGGGCUGGGA